GAUGAAGAACGCAGCGAAAUGCGAUACUUGGUGUGAAUUGCAGAAUCCCGUGAACCAUCGAGUCUUUGAACGCAAGUUGCGCCCGAAGCCAUUAGGCCGAGGGCACGCCUGCCUGGGCGUCACACGUCGUUGCCCCCCCAUCUACUCCUUCGGGAUUGCGGGGGGCGGAUGAUGGCCUCCCGUGCGCCUCGCCGCGCGGUUGGCAUAAAUGCCAAGUCCUCGGCGACGCACGCCCCGACAAUCGGUGGUUGCGAAACCUCGGUUGCCCGUCGUGUGCGGUCGUCGCGCAUCGAGGGCUCGAAAAAAUUGCCGGGUUCCGGCUCGGCUUUCAACGCGACCCCAGGUCAGGCGGGGUUACCCGCUGAAUUUAAGCAUAUCAAUAAGCGGAGGA
rnacentral:misc_RNA from 1 species